rnacentral:tRNA from 1 species
CGACGUAGCUCAGUGGUAGAGCACUUCCUUGGUAAGGAAGAGGCCACGGGUUCAAUUCCCGUUGUCGG